rnacentral:misc_RNA from 1 species
AACCUUAUGGACCUGCGGGCGUAUACCUGCGGAAGGAUCAUUACCGAGUUAUACAACUCAUCAACCCCUGUGAACUUACCUACAACGUUGCUUCGGCGGGAACAGACGGCCCCGUAAAACGGGCCGCCCCCGCCAGAGGACCCCUAACUCUGCUUUUAUAAUGUUUUUCUGAGUAAACAAGCAAAUAAAUUAAAACUUUUAACAAUGGAUCU